rnacentral:tRNA from 1 species
GUGCACUUAGCUUAGCCGUUUAAAAGCAUCACUCAUGAAUUUUGAGGUCGUGGGUUUGAGGCCCGUAGUGCACA